GCAAACUAAUGGGGAUGACAUUCCGGCCAAAAAAGAAGCAAUUACAAGGGGAUAAUGAAAAGAUCCGCUUUCUUAGUGGGAACAACAGGCCUUCUGGAAUCGAUUUACCAACACGGAGCGAAGGUGAAUUGCACACCGGUUUAAAUGUCAUGUGCUUCUUCCUUGGGAAUGAAAAGAAGAAUUUAAUAGCAAAGAAUGUAGAAAUCUCUCCUUGCCCUAGACAUGCCUGUCAUUUCUUAAUUCUCUAUGGAAAACACGCUCGGCCGCUCUUGGAAAGCAUUCAGGUCCUCUGUUUCAAACAGCGGGAGCUCACUUUGGCAGCAUCUCCAGUUAUUACAGCACCUUUGCAGUAGGAUGAUGACCUUUUCCUUCUGGCAAUAGCAAGCCAAUCUUCUUAAGCAGAACAGGCCAACAUUCAACAGUGGAGGCCAAAUGCACUGAAGAAUGUUAAUCCAGUGUGUUUAGACAAUUUGGUUUUGCAGCAUAUUAUCAGUGGAAAACGUACUGCAAUGGGUCAAGAAAUAAAGCUGACUUCUUCCAACGGCUAUCUGGCCUUACUUUCCCUAUCAUUCACACUGAACAAAAAAACUCAUUUUAAUUAAGGCGCUAUCUCCAUUCUGCUAUAAAAAUUUUAUGGCCUAUUCAUAAAGAGAAUUGAAAGAUACAUUUUGAGCAAAAGAAAGGCUGUGUGUGUGUUUCCCCUUUUAAAAAGCAAAAUGUUUUACAGGGUAU